AUUGAACGCUGGCGGCAGGCCUAACACAUGCAAGUCGAGCGAGCGGCGGACGGGUGAGUAAUGCCUAGGAAAUUGCCCUGAUGUGGGGGAUAACCAUUGGAAACGAUGGCUAAUACCGCAUGCGUUCGGAUCUCCUCGGUGGGAUUCUCUAGUUGGUGAGGUAAUGGCUCACCAAGGCGACGAUCCCUAGCUUGUCUGGGAGGAGGAUCAGCCACACCGGAACUGAGACACGGUCCAGACUCCUACGGGAGGCAGCAGUGGGGAAUAUUUCGCAAUGGGCGCAAGCCUGAUGCAGCCACGCCGCGUGUGUGAAGAAGGCCUUCGGGUUGUAAAGCACUUUCAGUCGUGAGGCGUUAGCGACAGAAGAAGCACCGGCUAACUCCGUGCCAGCAGCCGCGGUAAUUC
rnacentral:rRNA from 1 species